GCAUAUCAAAAAAGCGGAGGAAAAGAAACCAACCGGGAUUGCCUUAGUAACGGCGAGUGAAGCGGCAAAAGCUCAAAUUUGAAAUCUGGUACCUUCGGUGCCCGAGUUGUAAUUUGGAGAGGGCAACUUUGGGGCCGUUCCUUGUCUAUGUUCCUUGGAACAGGACGUCAUAGAGGGUGAGAAUCCCGUGUGGCGAGGAGUGCGGUUCUUUGUAAAGUGCCUUCGAAGAGUCGAGUUGUUUGGGAAUGCAGCUCUAAGUGGGUGGUAAAUUCCAUCUAAAGCUAAAUAUUGGCGAGAGACCGAUAGCGAACAAGUACAGUGAUGGAAAGAUGAAAAGAACUUUGAAAAGAGAGUGAAAAAGUACGUGAAAUUGUUGAAAGGGAAGGGCAUUUGAUCAGACAUGGUGUUUUGUGCCCUCUGCUCCUUGUGGGUAGGGGAAUCUCGCAUUUCACUGGGCCAGCAUCAGUUUUGGUGGCAGGAUAAAUCCAUAGGAAUGUAGCUUGCCUCGGUAAGUAUUAUAGCCUGUGGGAAUACUGCCAGCUGGGACUGAGGACUGCGACGUAAGUCAAGGAUGCU
rnacentral:rRNA from 1 species